GGGGCCUAAGGGUCUGAUUAGUGGUGGAGAAGGGCUGAUUUGUCCGCUGGGUAUUUGAUUGGAGGAAGCUCCCGGUGGGGGCGGAGCCAGUCCCAGCUCCUCCCUCUCUUUCUGCAGCUGGGAGUUAACCCCUCAACUGCCGGGACCCAGGAGUUGAAGCCGGGGUUGGAGGGCUCUCUGGGGGUGGGGGACACACUGUAUUUGGUCAAUGGCCUCCACCCACUGACCCUGCGCUGGGAAGAGACCCGCACACCAGAAUCCCAGCCAGAUACUCCGCCUGGCACCCCUCCGGUGUCCCAAGACGAGAAGAGAGAUGCUGAGCUGCCGAAGAAGCGUAUGCGGAAGUCAAACCCCGGCUGGGAGAACUUGGAGAAGUUGCUAGUGUUCACCGCAGCUGGGGUGAAACCCCAGAGCAAGGUGGCUGGCUUU
rnacentral:sRNA from 1 species